GUGAAAGUAGCUCAGCUGGUUAGAGCACUGGAUUGUGGAUCCAGGGGUCGCGGGUUCGAAUCCCGUCUUUCACC
rnacentral:tRNA from 1 species